GACGUAGGGGGCCAGCGUUGUUCGGAAUUACUGGGUGUAAAGGGUUCGUAGGCGGUGCGGCAAGUCGGGAGUGAAAUCUCUGGGCUUAACCCAGAGGCUGCUUCCGAAACUGCUGUGCUUGAGUGUGGGAGAGGCGCGUGGAAUUGCAGGUGUAGCGGUGAAAUGCGUAGAUAGUUGGGAGGAACACCGGUGGCGAAGGCGGCCCCCUGGACCGGUCACUGACGCUGAGGCGCGAAAGCGUGGGUAGCAAACGGG
rnacentral:rRNA from 1 species